GGAUCUAAUACUGGAUGCUACAUGUCACCGCAUGGUGUUGUGUGGAAAGGGUUUACUGGUCUUGGAUGGGCUCACGGCCUAUCAGCUUGUUGGUGAGGUAAUGGCUCACCAAGGCGACGACGGGUAGCCGGCCUGAUAGGGUGACCGGCCACACUGGGACUGAGACACGGCCCAGACUCCUACGGGAGGCAGCAGUGGGGAAUAUUGCACAAUGGGCGAAAGCCUGAUGCAGCGACGCCGCGUGAGGGAUGACGGCCUUCGGGUUGUAAACCUCUUUCUUCAGGUAAGAAGCCACAAGUGACGGUACCUGCAGAAGAUGCGCCGGCUAACUACGUGCCAGCAGCCGCGGUAAUACGUAGGGCGCAAGCGUUGUCCGGAAUUAUUGGGCCUAAAGAGCUCGUAGGCUGUUUGUCGCGUCUGCUGUGUAAGCCCGGGGCUUAACCCCGGGUGUGCAGAGCGUACGGGCAGACUAUACUGCAAAAGAAUACUGGAAUUCGUGGUGCAGCGGAAGAAAUGUGAUUAUAUCGGGAAGAACGUCAAUGAAGUAUA
rnacentral:rRNA from 1 species